GAGUUUGAUCAUGGCUCAGAUUGAACGCUGGCGGCAUGCCUAACACAUGCAAGUCGAACGGAAACAGGACGCUGGGAUCUCUUCGGAGUGAACUUGUCGCUGUCGAGUGGCGGACGGGUGAGUAAUGCAUAGGAAAUUGCCUUGAAGUGGGGGAUAGCCCGGAGAAAUCCGGAUUAAUACCGCAUGCGCUCUACGGAGCAAAGCAGGCCUCUGAUUUAAGCUUGCGCUUUGAGAUAUGCCUAUGUCGGAUUAGCUAGUUGGUAGGGUAAAAGCCUACCAAGGCGACGAUCCGUAGCUGGUUUGAGAGGAUGAUCAGCCACACUGGGACUGAGAUACGGCCCAGACUCCUACGGGAGGCAGCAGUGGGGAAUAUUGGACAAUGGGCGCAAGCCUGAUCCAGCAAUGCCGCGUGUGUGAAGAAGGCCUGCGGGUUGUAAAGCACUUUUAUCGGGAAAGAAAACUCAGGGUUAAUACCCUGGGCCUUGACGGUACCCGAAGAAUAAGCACCGG
rnacentral:rRNA from 1 species